GCGCCUGUAGUAUAACGGUUAUUACACUCAGCUACCAAGUCGUACAACGAGAGACCUGGGUUCGACUCCCAGCGGGUGCG